ensembl:lncRNA
CGGAGGGACACAUUUUUUGGGGGACCAAUUGUUUGUUCAAAUCAAUUUGCGGGGGCCUCCAGAGUGAUGCAGAGGUCUUGAGAGUGGUGUAGUGGCUUGAGGCAUCACCACAGACCCAGGUUCGAUCCCAGGCUGUGUCACAGCUGGCAGUGACUGGGAGACCCAUGAGGUGGUGCACAAUUGGCACAGCGUCAUCCAGGUUAGGAGAGGGUUUGGCCGGCUGAGAUUUCCUUGUCCCAUCGCACUCUAGAGACUCCUGUGGCGGGCCAGGCGCAUGCAUGCUGUCACGGCGCCAGGUGUUCUUCCAACACAUUGGUACAGCUGACUUCCGGGUUAAGCGGGCAUUGCGUCAAUAAGCGGUGCAGCUUGGCUGGGUCAUGUUUUGGAGGACGCACGGCUCUCGAACUUCGCCUCUCCCGAGUCCGUACGGGAGUUGCAGCGAUGGGACGAGACUAUAACGUACAUUUCUGUCUUAACUACUAGCUUCGUAACAUAAUGGUCCGUUUAAUCAUAAUCGGAAUAAUGCAUUGGUCAUUCACAGAAAAUGUCAAACGGAAAGGGGGGUUCAACCGAUGUCUUGGCUAAAUUCCCAACCUGGCCACAUUCCAUCAUGGCCAACUAAUCAUCUCCCUCAUUCCUAAUUGGCAUAUAUCACUCCUCACCUCUCCACCUGAUAGCUGACGUGGGGUGAGCGUUCUGGCAAAAAAAAUGGUCGCCGUGCAUCACUGAGGUGGGCGCUACACAUUGAUGGUGGAUAAGAUUAAAAUGAAACAACAGAAAGCCCAUCACUGCCUGCACACCCCAGCUUGCCGUCACAGCUAAAUAACCUCUUAAAACUAAUGAAGAUGCGCAGAGAGAAUGGAUGGAGAGAAGCAGCUGAGUAGGUUCAUGGCCAGCACAGGACCACCACUUCUGGCUUCUUCAACUACAGGAUCGUCUGAGACCAGCCACCCAGACAGCUGAUGAAACUGUCUGUAAUAAAGCCCUUUUGUGAGGGAAAAACUCAUUCUGAUUGGCUGGGCCUGGCUCUCCAGUGGGUGGGCCUAUGCCCUCCAAUGCCCAUCCAUGGCUGAAUCCCUGUCCAGUCAUGUGAAAUCCAUAGAUUAGGGCCAAAUGCAU